AGCCCAAGGUUUCCUGCUCUACGUUCAUCGGAGCAGGGUGAGUCGGCCCCUAAGGCCAGGCUGAGAAGCGUAGUCGAUGGGAAGCAGAUUAAUAUUUCUGCACCAUGUGCAAGUGCGAUGGGGGGACGGAGUGCGAAAGAUCAUCCGGGUGUUGGAUGUCCCGGUUUGUGAGUGUAGAAGGCCGACAGGCAAAUCCGUCGGCGGAUCUUCGAGACAAAGCAUCGAGGUUCUACGGAACCGAAGUGAUCGGAAGUGCUUCCAGGAAAAGCCUCUAAGCUCCAGCUUGCAUAUGACCGUACCGUAAACCGACACUGGUGGGCGAGUUGAAUAUACUCAGGCGCUUGAGAGAACUCGGGAGAAGGAACUCGGCAAAUUGACACCGUAACUUCGGGAUAAGGUGUGCCUUUGUAGCGUGAAGAGAGAAACACUCGGAGCGUGAAGAGGCCUCAGAGAAUCGGUGGCUGCAACUGUUUAUUAAAAACACAGCACUCUGCAAAGACGAAAGUCGACGUAUAGGGUGUGAUGCCUGCCCGGUGCUGGAAGAUUAAGUGAUGGGGUGAGAGCUCCUGAUCGAAGUCCCAGUAAACGGCGGCCGUAACUAUAACGGUCCUAAGGUAGCGAAAUUCCUUGUCGGGUAAGUUCCGACCUGCACGAAUGGCAUAAUGAUGGCCACACUGUCUCCUCCCGAGACUCAGUGAAGUUGAAAUGUUUGUGAUGAUGCAAUCUCCCCGCGGCUAGACGGAAAGACCCCAUGAACCUUUACUGUAGCUUUGCAUUGGACUUUGAACCGAUUUGUGUAGGAUAGGCGGGAGGCAGAGAAAGCGCAACGCCAGUUGUGCCGGAGCCGACGUUGAAAUACCGCCCUGAUUUGUUUGAGGUUCUAACCGCGACCCGUGAGCCGGGUUCGGGACCGUGCAUGGCAGGCAGUUUGACUGGGGCGGUCUCCUCCUAAAGGGUAACGGAGGAGUACAAAGGUACGCUAGGUACGGUCGGAAAUCGUGCUGAUAGUGCAAAGGCAAAAGCGUGCUUGACUGCGAGACCGACAAGUCGAGCAGAUGCGAAAGCAGGUCUUAGUGAUCCGGUGGCUCUGUAUGGAAGGGCCAUCGCUCAACGGAUAAAAGGUACUCUGGGGAUAACAGGCUGAUA
rnacentral:rRNA from 1 species